rnacentral:rRNA from 1 species
UACGUAGGGGGCAAGCGUUGUCUGGAAUCAUUGGGCGUAAAGAGCGUGUAGGCGGCUUGUCACGUCGGAUGUGAAAGCCCGAGGCUUAACCUCGGGUCUGCAUUCGAUACGGGCUAGCUAGAGUGUGGUAGGGGAGAUCGGAAUUCCUGGUGUAGCGGUGAAAUGCGCAGAUAUCAGGAGGAACACCGGUGGCGAAGGCGGAUCUCUGGGCCAUUACUGACGCUGAGGAGCGAAAGCGUGGGGAGCGAACAGG